CAGCCCUCAAGGCUUCCUCCUCCUCCUCCUCUUCGUCGUGCUGCGCCACGCCUCCCACCACCGGCUCCCCGCACCUCUUCCGCAGCCACAGCGAGCGCCGCCCGGCGACGCCACCCGACGUGAAGUACAUCUCCCCCAAGCACCGGCNNNNNNNNNNNNNNNNNNNNGAUCAAGGUGGAGGGCGGCGGUGGAGGCAGCGACGGCGCGGGCAAGAAGCUCAGCAAGGGCUCCAAGCAGCCGACGGUUGCUGCCCCCUCUGCCAUGAAAGAUAAAGUACUGAUAGCUGAUGACUACUCAGAUCCAUUUGAUGCCAAAAGUGAGUUGAACAGAAUGGGAAAAGGGGAGAACACCGGCUAUAUGGAACCAUACGAAGCCCAGAGAAUAAUGGCUGCUCCUGUUUUGGGCCCUCAGGAAAGAUUAAUCAGUGGGGGAAGAUGAGGCUGUUGGAUGCAAAGAUCAUUUUUUCAUGCAAGUGUUCCUAUUUUUCUUUUCUUAAAGCAUUUCUGGAGAGACACAGGAAAUGACGUGGAAACAGGUCCUUGGAAGUUUUCAGUACCUUAUAGAAGGGCUGGGAGCUGUUACUUCUCAUUAGUGUAAAUCUAUUAAUUUUAAGUCAAGGAAUUUCACAGAAAAUCAUAUUAGUCCAAAUAAUUUCUUGCACUUUAUACAGCAGGGGUGAGCACUUGUAAUUUAAAUUAUUAAGCUUGUAGUGCAUUGGCUUGUUUCUUCCUGCAUUUAGGACUGGAGUUUGUUCUCUCUUCUUUUUCAGAUUAGUCGUAACAAAUGAGAUAUUUAGUAGGAUGAUACUGGAUGGCUUAUCUGCAGUAAGGGUCAGUAGGUUCAUGAGCCAUUGAAAUUACGAGACGUCCUUUUGCCUGAUUGGUACUUGGUGCAACUGAUGAGCUGUUAUAUCUGCUC
rnacentral:lncRNA from 1 species